rfam:Solanum tuberosum cultivar DM 1-3 516 R44 scf00030_69, whole genome shotgun sequence.
GCGAGCCACAUGCAGGGAAACUUGCACGUGUGGUUCUGGUCGGGCUUUCCUGAGGUAUCUAAUAACCUUUCUUCUGCUCGCCGAUCAUGAAUCGAAC